rnacentral:misc_RNA from 1 species
AAAAACAAGUUCUUAUCUCGAAUAUGAAACAUUCAACGCGCACAAUCAAUCACGGAUAUGUAUCGUAAUGAAAUAACAUGAAGGUGUAUUAGCGGGCGCAGUACCGAUUGCAACACUAAAUUCCCUACGCAAUUAGAAUAUGUUUUAUCGAUUAGUAACAAAAUUUCACUACUUCGAUACGUAGCGUAUGGAAGAGAAUAAAGCUUCUAUCUUAGAUUUUAAUGAAUAUAACGUAAGUCAACGUUGAAACGUCGAUAAUAGAUAAUAAAAAAAGCAUUAAACGUUAGUUUCCGUUCUUAUCUUGUUUCUUUGGGCACGAUUGCAGCACCAUCGGCGGAUUUUCUUAGGUGAUAGAAGCGAAGUGGGGGCGCGAUGGAAGGUUCGCUGUAGUGAUUACGUCGGCAGGAGUGUUGACGUUUAUUUGAAGGAUACGGAAGCUAUGAAUAGUCAAAAAGAAAUAAUUAGUGGAAUAAUAAGGAAUAGAUUUUAGUGACUUAUUUGCAUAUUGGAAUGCUUUAACAAAGGGUGCUUGGUGUGUCUAUUUAAUGACUAUAUGCUACUAUUAAACUCGAUGCGCGUGAGGGCUUUGGCUCUAACUGCAACGCGCCAUAUUGGUUUAAGACAAUUGCUCGUGUUAGUGGGGGCCUGACUGAUACAACUUUUCUAUCAAAUCAACGUAGAAUUAUUUAUUUCACAAUCAUGGAGGAAACCAAAAUAAUUUACCAUAUUGACGACGAAGAGACACCUUAUUUAGUCAAACUGACUAUUUCGCCGGAGAGGGUGACUUUGGCAGAUUUUAAAAAUGUCCUCAACCGACCGAAUUACAAGUAUUUCUUCAAAUCAAUGGACGAUGACUUCGGGGUUGUAAAAGAGGAGAUUGUGGACGACGAUGCACAUCUUCCAUGCUUCAAUGGACGAGUAGUCUCAUGGUUGGUUUCCGCUGAAGGCAGUAAUGUAUCGGAUGGUGUUUCACAUUGCACUGAUUCUGUAGCGCAUAGUGAAGUGAAGCACGAUCGUAUUGAUCAUGUAACACCAGGGCAUACAAAUCGUGGUCCACCACCGCUUUCGCACGAUGAUACCUUAACAGAAACUGAAAGUAUUAUAAGUAGCCGACAAGGUCAUCAUUUACAUAAAAGUUCAAGACAUCAUACAGACAAAUAUGAAAAAUAUAACAAAUACAAUGGAUUGCGAAUAAAUGGUCAUUCUAAGCAUCGUUCUGGUCAUGGCUAUGAAACUGCCUCAAUAUUGAGCUCGGAUCUAGAAACGACAACAUUUUUAGAAUCGGAUGAUGAUGCGAGUAGUCGUAUUACAUCGACAACAGGUCGUCAUACUAAUAUGAGUAGCGCAGUUGACAGAGCAACUUUAGAUCGACGUAGACCUCAAAGAAGAAGAAGACACAGAUUACCUCCUAUGUCUCGAACAUCUUCAUUUAGCAGUAUCACAGAUAGCACAAUGUCUUUGAAUAUCAUAACAGUCUCAUUAAAUAUGGAUACUGUAAAUUUCCUUGGAAUAAGUAUCGUUGGUCAAAGUAAUAAAGGUGGAGAUGGAGGAAUUUAUGUUGGAUCUAUAAUGAAAGGGGGAGCUGUAGCCUUAGAUGGUCGAAUAGAACCCGGUGACAUGAUUCUUCAAGUUAAUGACAUUAAUUUUGAGAACAUGUCUAAUGAUGAGGCGGUAAGAGUUCUACGUGAAGUCGUCCAAAAACCAGGACCAAUCAAGUUAGUUGUUGCUAAAUGUUGGGAUCCAAAUCCAAAAGGUUAUUUUACCAUACCAAGAACAGAACCGGUGCGUCCUAUAGAUCCGGGUGCAUGGGUGGCACAUACAGCAGCUAUACGAGGCGAAGGUUUCCCACCUCGUCCACCAAGUGCAACAACAUUAACAUCCACAUCGAGUAGUCUUGCUAGUACUCUACCAGAUACAGAACGACCACUAGAGGAACUUCACCUUACCAUUAAUACAGAUAUGCCAACAAUAGUACGUGCUAUGGCACGUCCAGAUUCGGGUCUAGAAAUUCGUGAUCGCAUGUGGCUUAAAAUAACAAUUCCGAAUGCAUUUAUUGGGGCAGAUGUUGUUGAUUGGCUUAGCGCACACGUAGAAGGAAUUAUUGAUCGUCGUGAAGCCAGAAAAUACGCAUCAUUGAUGCUAAAAGCUGGAUUCAUCAGACAUACUGUGAAUAAGAUCACGUUUUCUGAACAAUGUUAUUACAUAUUUGGUGAUUUGUGUUCUGCUAUGAGCAGCAUGAAAUUGGACUGUGACACGGUUGGACCUUUACCACCUCCUAAUGCUUGGGACAUGCCUUACUCAGGGACAUAUGCACCUCAUUCUGCGACUGGUUACAGUCCAAUGCCAUUUAAUUUUACUAACGAACCAACUGUAUAUGGAUAUCAUAGAGAAGAAAGUGUUCAUAGUGGUUCAGGUGGUAGCAGUGCAGGUAGUGAACAUAUUUGUAAGGAACCUAUCCACGACUUGAAGUCUUGUUCUUCAGCAUCUGAAUCGGAAUUACAUAUCCCAUCUGUGCCAAGUAUGCCAAGUAAGAAUUCUGGUAAUGGGAAUGGUUCGAAUGGUAAAAGGUCUAAUGGAAGCCAUAGUCGGUCCAGUGGGUCCGAGCAAUCGGUACAGACAGGAACUGGUUCAGGAACUCAACAAAAUCAACAAGACUUAUCUGGGUGACGUAUGCACGAAGAAUGUCGCACGCGGACAAGUAAUUUGGACAACAAUACCAGAGAUAAUAUUUAUGAAGAAGACAUUUUGGAGUACCAGUUUCUGCAUAAGUGAAGAUAUUUGUUAUAACGUAAUACGUAUACGCAAUGACAUUAAUAGACGUAAACAGGAAGUUAUGAUAUAAUUCUACGUCGUUUUAUUAAGUGGACGGAAGUAGCACACGCGAAACAUAUGUUUAUAUAUUUAAUAGGCCAAUUUUGAUAAAAUGCUGUAGAAGGUAAAAUGUCCAAGCUCAUGUAAUAACGGUUUAUAAUGUCUAUACAUAAUAGAGUUAAGGUCAUUGGAAUCUCUAUGUGACAAAUGUGUCCUUUUUUGAAAUGUUGUUACGGUUUGUGUUAAUUCAUACAAAGCAUUUGCAAUAC